UUGUUGGUACUGUUGCGUUGAAGAGCCAGGUGAUAAUGCUCAGGAAUGUAGAGACAUUGGUUCCAUUAACAUAUAAAAAGAGAGAACAAUCAGUUUACCAGACGCUGCUGGGGGAAUUGGGGGAUGUGGGGAUUCUUUAAAACAAGUCACUUUGACCGGGAUUGGUUUGCUUUAAGAUUAUGUAGUUUGAAAAAUACUUUUUAAAAAAAGAUUAUAAAAGUAUUUAAAAGUAUUUGUGUUGUAUUCAAAGUCUUCUGAAGUCAUACAAUAAGUUUCUGUGAAAAGUUUCAACAUUGAGGUAUUAAUAACUGAAAAUGAUUCCACUCCAUAAACACAGUCAUCAUAAAAUACAGCUGAAUUAGAGUUUGAGAUAAAAGACAUCAAAACUGACGUAAUAAAUGUCCCUGUCCACAGCGUUUGUCUGUUGAUGCAAAGGUAUCUUAAUGAAACCAAUGAAAUACCCUGCACAUGGAAAAACUGCACUAAAUGGACAAACUAAAAAUUGACGCCAAGGGCUCCUGACCAAGAGUCAAGGAUUGAGAAAGUGUAAAAAAUGGUCCCCAAUGAGACUGUGUAUUGUGACGCCUGUUUGGUUGCCUUAUAUUUAUCAUUAUUUAAUAUUCUGUUUAUCUAUGAAACAACAAUGUUGAUAAUAACACUAAAACAGCCAUUCUUUCCAUCAGAAAUAGUUAAACUUAAGUAAAAAACAUAAGACAGAGUGACUCGUCAGGUCGAGAUGCAUUGCAUAAGAGAAUGGCCAGCAUGCUGAUGACUGGUCAUACAGAAGCUGAUCAUACAGAUGACCGGCCAUACAGACCGCAUCGUACAGACAGUGAUCACAUCCUGAUGUAACCAAUCGCUCUCCAGCUGGAGGAAGUGCUGCUUUAUAAUCACAGAACAUUCACUCACUAUUAAAAUGAUUCUGGCUGCUAGAAGGGAGAACAUAUCCUACAACAUGAAAAAGUCAAGUCAACAGUUCACAUUGUUCACUCUAAACAAGAAUUUCACUUCAUCAGAAAGUACAGUCCUCAAAAAAAAGUUUCAGGGACCAGCUUUAACGUUUAAACCUGUGAAUUUUGGCUGUCCAUGUUAAAGACUGGAAAUCUGCAUGCAGAAUCUGGAUUGUUGGGACAGCUACAUUGGACGUGGUGAAAAGCGAGCAAGGGAAACCAUGGACACCAAUCUCAGUGUGUCCUCCCAGGUCCAGUGGUUUGGGGUGACCUCCUUCCUUUCUUCCAACAGUGUCUUAAAGAAAGAACUGAACAAAUGAAGAUUAUGCUUUCUUCAAUCGACCCGAGCCACCACUGGAGGAAAGGUGGACAAAGUCAGGAAGUUUGUGAACAAUGUGAUGGCCAAGUUUGUUCUCUGUGUUAAUGGAGCAUUGUCCAACAUCCACACAUAGUGCUUGACAAACCUGAGCUAUAUUUAAAUGAUGAGGUUCAUUUAAGCCCUAAGGGAAAUGAUAUAUAUUUUUUAACUGAUAUUAUCCAGUGUUUGAGAGACCACAGACCAUAAGCCUGAUGCUGGAUUGGUGCAUGUUAUGGGAAAGAAGGUCUCCUGUAUUUUU